AUUGAACGCUGGCGGCAUGCCUAACACAUGCAAGUCGAACGGCAGCACAGUAAAGACUUCGGUCUUUAUGGGUGGCGAGUGGCGGACGGGUGAGUAACGCGUAGGAAUCUGUCCUGGAGGGUGGGAUAACCUGAGGAAACUCGGGCGAAAACCGCAUGAUAUCGAGAGAUCAAAAGCAGGGGACCCUUCGGGGCUGUGCGCUCUAGGAUGAGCCUACGUCGGAUUAGCUAGUUGGUGGGGUAACGGCCUACCAAGGCGACGAUCCGUAGCUGGUCUGAGAGGAUGACCAGCCACACUGGGACUGAGACACGGCCCAGACUCCUACGGGAGGCAGCAGUGGAGAAUCUUGGACAAUGGGGGAAACCCUGAUCCAGCGAUGCCGCGUGUGUGAAGAAGGCCUUCGGGUUGUAAAGCACUUUAGUUGGGGAAGAAAAGUAAUAAGUAAAUAAUUUAUUGCUCUGUCGGUACCCAAAGAAUAAGCACCGGCUAACUCUGUGCCAGCCGCCGCCGUAA
rnacentral:rRNA from 1 species